rnacentral:lncRNA from 2 species
CUGGUCGGCACCAGCGUCCAGCGGCUGCCAUUUCUUUGCCGGCAGUCCAAGCUCGAGCUCCAGCGACUGGCUGCAGCAAGCAAGCACCUGACAGCUGCUGCUCCUGACGCGGCAGUUCGGAGUCGUUGCUCCCACCGCACUUCCAUCUUCUCCAUUCAUGCACUGUUCAGAUCCAACCUGCAGCCAAAGAGCGAGCUCUGGCAACCGGCGGGCACCACACGGUUGCUGCUCCUCCACCUCCACCGUGAUGCAGGCCAACGCAUGGAAGUACAGAUCCAAGUGAAUUAUCUAGAUUUUGAGCUAUUGAGGAUGAUAUUUGGGACUAGUUUGGAAGAGGCAUGGAUUGGAAACGUUGGAGAACAACAAGAUUAA